rnacentral:lncRNA from 1 species
UCGGAGGCACAUAGAGAAAGAGAUGCUACGAGCCUUGCCCCCCCCCCGUUUGAAGUGGUGAGGAGGAAGGGAGGGAGGGAGGGAGCCCUAAAUAACCAUUCCGCAGGGAGAAAGACAGGCAGCCGGGAGAGGUAAGAUCCGAGGGAAGCAAAGGAACUAAGGGGAGGUGACAAACCCAGAGUGGGGGUGGGGGGGGGAGCCCUCGAAAGGAGAGGCGUCGAGGAGGCCGCGCUCAGGCGGGCCCGAUCCCAGGCAGAAUUACUUAGAAGGCCUCAAUCAGAUGCAUUCCUCAAUGGUGCCAAUCUCCACAGCCAGUAGCUUCCUAUCUGACAGAUGGAAUAAACUUCCUUGUGGUGGACCAAAUAUGUUUGGAUAGACCAUUGCAGAUAACAAGCUCAGUUUUGGCAAGCAGGAUAACUUUCCGAAAACCACAGAGUGAGAGGAAUUAGAUAUGGCAGAAGAAGACAACAAAAGAAAUGUGUAAUCUGAAAAUAAGCUAGAUCAAGCCAUUGACUGCAGAGG